UGAUGACAGUCCAUUGACAAUCCCACUCCAAUUAUUCCUAGCACCCAGAACGAAGAGAAAUGAACCCAUUGAUAAGUAUACGGAUCGACUCAGCAUUAAUUUUUGAUCCGUGUUGAUACGUGUACAAACUAAAGGUUGCAAUUUUCAUCCCAUUAUCUUCAAUUUGCAAUGCCAUUUUUUGAUCUAGGACAAAGCAUAUUGAAAUUGGAAAAACUCGUUUCAGAUUUGGAUAUAGCUGGACUAAAAUUGCAUCAAGUAUUUAUUAUCUGAUUACUGGUUAGUUUAAUGGAAAUCAGUCAGAUACCCAAUACUAAAUUGUUUUGUAGGCUUAUAUUAUAAUAUUGUAACAAAUUGCUGUUUUUACAAAUAAAUUUGUCAAAGUGUUAACUCCCCAUA
rnacentral:sRNA from 1 species